AAUACAUACGUGUAACAGAUACAACAUUACUUAUAACAUACCAGACAAACUAAGUGACACUUUAGGCCUACAGUGCAAUAAUAUGUCAAAUUUAAAGAGUUUCCCAAGUUCAAUUAAUACAAUAUUAUAAACAUACAAAUGUAAUAAAAAUUAUUGUUCGCGAAUAUUCAAUUUGGAAUGCGAUUUUGUUAAUAAAAAAAAUACUUAUAACUUAUGCAAAACCCAAGAGAGGCAUUUAUAUUUAUUUCUUUUGCGUUCAUUUUCAAAUUCGCCGUGCAUAUAUUUUUGUGCAUGGCGCUUGAGAGGGCAUCACGUGACUAAAAACGACCAACCAACGACCUCGCUUCGGCCAUCUUGGCAUCUUCAUCUUGGUCACCUUGCUUUGCCGUGGGUGGAUCGUUGUUAUUUGUGCUUUUUAAGAAUAUUUUUUUAAUUCGGAUACUUUUAUAAUAGCUUUAAUAGUAUUAUUAACAUAGUGAAUAAAAUGGUGUCCUGUUUUUAACGCAGUUGGAGUAGCAGAAACAAAUAAUGUAGAUAAAAAAAUCUGCAGGAAUAACGUUUCAAUUAUGACAGAAGCUCCAAACAAAUGACUGUGAAUGAAAAGCCCUAUUAAAAGCUUUCCAGAAGAUCCUACGAAGAAAACAUGAAGUAUAGAUCAGAUUUGUUAAUAGAGGAGUAUGUUCAAAACACUUUUUAGAAAAAGAUAUUGACAGAACUUCACUUUCAUCUGUUCGUUUAAGAGACUGUGCUGUUCCAAUAGCUUAUGUCACACAGAAUCAGCUGAGAGAAGUGGUCUACAAAAAACCAGAAAGGAAACGGAAUAUGUGGCUACGAAAAGCAAAAGAAAGGUUUACAAAGCAAAUGUGACACAUUUUUUUAUAAUAUUUAGGAAUGUCAGUAAAUUACAUUAAAAAAUGUAUGUAAAGAUUUUUUGCAAUAAAAAUGUUUAUAUUUA